rnacentral:ribozyme from 1 species
CCUGGUGAUAUAUAAUGUGCUUGCCUUUGGAAUGGCAUAUACCCAGAUUUCACUUCAGACUGUGAAGUUUGUACGAGCUCUUUUUCAGGUAAAGAACUUGAGCAAAACCAAAAGACACUCACCCAUCUGUCUUUCUCUAGGUC